GACGAACGCUGGCGGCGUGCUUAACACAUGCAAGUCGAACGAGGUCUUCGGACCUAGUGGCGAACGGGUGAGUAACACGUGAGGAACGUGCCCCAGAGACCGGGAUAAGCCGAGGAAACUUGGUCUAAUACCGGAUGUCCCCACCGGAUCGCAUGGUCCGGUGAGGAAAUGGAUUCCGCUCUGGGAGCGCCUCGCGGCCUAUCAGCUUGUUGGUGGGGUAACGGCCCACCAAGGCGUCGACGGGAGCUGGUCUGAGAGGAUGAUCAGCCACACUGGGACUGAGACACGGCCCAGACUCCUACGGGAGGCAGCAGUGGGGAAUCUUGCGCAAUGGGCGAAAGCCUGACGCAGCAACGCCGCGUGCGGGACGACGGCCCUCGGGCUGUAAACCGCUUUCAGCAGGAACGAUGAUGACGGUACCUGCAGAAGAAGCUCCGGCCAACUACGUGCCAGCAGCCGCCGCCGU
rnacentral:rRNA from 1 species